rnacentral:rRNA from 1 species
CCCAGACUCCUACGGGAGGCAGCAGUGGGGAAUAUUGGGCAAUGGGCGCAAGCCUGACCCAGCAACGCCGCGUGAAGGAAGAAGGCUUUCGGGUUGUAAACUUCUUUUAUUCGGGACGAAGAAAGUGACGGUACCGAAUGAAUAAGCCACGGCUAACUACGUGCCAGCAGCCGCGGUAAUACGUAGGUGGCAAGCGUUAUCCGGAUUUACUGGGUGUAAAGGGCGUGUAGGCGGGACUGCAAGUCAGAUGUGAAAUUCCAGGGCUCAACCCUGGACCUGCAUUUGAAACUGUAGUUCUUGAGUGAUGGAGAGGCAGGCGGAAUUCCGUGUGUAGCGGUGAAAUGCGUAGAUAUACGGAGGAACACCAGUGGCGAAGGCGGCCUGCUGGACAUUAACUGACGCUGAGGCGCGAAAGCGUGGGGAGCAAACAGGAUUAGAUACCCUUGUA